AGAUGGACGAAGACGAAGAUUUCUUAGUAGUAGAUAGAACAAAAACCUAACAUUACGAGCUACAACUAUCACAAAAAGGCUACUUACGAGAUGGUGUGGGCCUUAACGUAGAGACAAUAUAUAGAUAUGUAUGUAGGCUCAAUUAAAUUGGUGGACGGUGAAAUAAAGCUCGGAUCCUAAGAGACAACGAAGAAAUAGAAAAGGAUACAGACAACAAAAAUACUUACACAAGGGUUGAAAUCCGGCGAGCAAGGGUAACAUAUAUAUAUUGGUUGUAGGGUUUCCAAGGAAGAAAUACCAAUUCCUGGUAAUGAGUGGAGACUUUAUGACGAGGGUAGAAAUCCCAAAAUUGUCGGAUAAAAGCGGCUGCAAAAAUUCCGCACCUCACAAGCACACC